AUGAAUAUACUAAAAUAACAAUUUUUUUUUUGGUAAACGUAGAAUAGCAAAUAUUACAUCCAUAAAUUGACUUAUUAAAAUUAUACACGAGUAAAUAAAGUUGCAAUAUUAUACAGAUGCAUAUAUAUAACAUGCUACAUAUAAGACAUAUAUCCGUCAUAUGCAACGGUUUAUUAUGCAGUUAAUAGAAAACUAAGUGGGAAAUAUUAAAUAUCUCCACAUAAUCAUUUUUUUUUCAUUUCUUAUUAAGCUGACGCUGGUUCUUGAAGUGAUCUCUCGGGUUGGCUUCGAAAGGUGCCCUAGGAAUAAUCGAACCAUUCCCACCAGGAGCCUUCAUCAUCUUCUCUUUCGGGCCGUUCUCAUCUGAGCCUGAUGUCAUCCACGAGAAUAGACUAGCGGCCGCUCCAAUGGCUCCAACCACGCCGAUGAUAAAUUUUCUAAUAAAUCAGGGUUAAAAAAAAGCAGUGACAUUUACCCACGUUAUCAAAAUGGUAGUAUUAAGAAUAUAAAUCAUGGGGUCAAGUUACUCCGGAGAGAAAAAGUUACGGGGGUCAAUAAAUCAAUUUUACAGAAUUAAACAAUUUUGUUUCUUCAAAAUACAAGUAAUUUUUCUAAAACUCUGAAAUUCAUAGGGGUGUCAAGUUACCUCCCUCCCCACAAGCGGCCUCUGCCACUGGUCCCAAAUACAUCCUAGCGGGAACCACGAUCCAUGCCAAAGCGAAGUAGUUCGACCACUUUUCACCUCCGCAAGGCAAAAGGAUUGACCUAUUGUCCCAUAUGAGCCAGCUUUUGUAUUCACUUUCACCAUCCAAAUUGAACAUUUAAUAAUGAAAUGCAUGUUGAUCCUGUUUAUCCAGAGCGACGACUUAGAGGACAAGAUAAGCAAAGGUUAAUUUCAAGCACCAUAUUGUAUUCACUUCUUAAGCUUCCUUCGCAUUUCGAUUUGCAAACUUCUGGUCAUGCUAUCUUCACUUUUCUACGGUUUUAUCACAUGACUUAUACUGAUUAACAAAAUUUCAUGGCCUCAGUCAACAUUCUUAAUCGGCUCCCGAAAACAACAAAUUUAAACAUGAAUAUACUAAAAUAACAAUUUUUUUUUUGGUAAACGUAGAAUAGCAAAUAUUACAUCCAUAAAUUGACUUAUUAAAAUUAUACACGAGUAAAUAAAGUUGCAAUAUUAUACAGAUGCAUAUAUAUAACAUGCUACAUAUAAGACAUAUAUCCGUCAUAUGCAACGGUUUAUUAUGCAGUUAAUAGAAAACUAAGUGGGAAAUAUUAAAUAUCUCCACAUAAUCAUUUUUUUUUCAUUUCUUAUUAAGCUGACGCUGGUUCUUGAAGUGAUCUCUCGGGUUGGCUUCGAAAGGUGCCCUAGGAAUAAUCGAACCAUUCCCACCAGGAGCCUUCAUCAUCUUCUCUUUCGGGCCGUUCUCAUCUGAGCCUGAUGUCAUCCACGAGAAUAGACUAGCGGCCGCUCCAAUGGCUCCAACCACGCCGAUGACUUUGGUUGCGGUAUCGUAAAAUGUCGAACUCUCAUCUUUGUCAUCUUUUCUCUCGGUGCUGUUCAUAUUGAUAUGGUCACUAUAUGAGUGUUUUGAUUUGUUGAGUUUAAAGAGGGGAAUCAGGAGUGAGUUAUAUAGAGUGGCAAGCUAGUGUACCUUGCCCCUCAGGAGUAAUAAAGACUUUAAUUACAUAGUAAGGGGGUUUAAAC
rnacentral:lncRNA from 1 species